GUAAUAAUAAUAAAACAAAUAUUAUUAUCUCAUAGUAUGUCUAUAGCUAGAAGGAUGAGCUCAGUAUUUAGCAGAAAGGCAUUUAAUUUUUGCUUUUGAUAUAUUUUGGCUCUUGCGAGGCUUAAAAGUCGUUAAGAACUAUCGAGACCAAAACAAGUUAUUACCCUAAAGUCUAUUAGCUACUCAAUAAAGCAUAAGAUUCAAACAUAUCCAUUUAAUAUUCU
rnacentral:lncRNA from 1 species